rnacentral:misc_RNA from 1 species
GAUGAAGAACGCAGCGAAAUGCGAUACGUAGUGUGAAUUGCAGAAUUCCGUGAAUCAUCAAAUCUUUGAACGCAUAUUGCGCUCGAGGCUUCGGCCAAGAGCAUGUCUGCCUCAGCGUCGGGUUAAUAUCGCUCUCUUCUACUCCUAGGAGUAAACCAGGGCGGAUCUGGUUGUUCCAGCGAGUUGGUGCUUGCACCUAUACACAAGCUGGAUCAGCUGAAGAACAGAGGUUAGCUCAAGGACCGUUAAGGGCCGCAACUGGGUAGGCAGCUCACGCUCGCUAUUUCUAGUUGUUGGCUUGGAUCUUGGGCUUGACCCUCAAACAGGAACCCUUCUAUUUUCUCGACCUGAGCUCAGGCAAGAACACCCGCUGAACUUAAGCAUAUCAAUAAGCGGAGGA